rnacentral:tRNA from 1 species
AGCAGCGUGGCUCAGUGGAAAGAGUCCAGUCUUGGGAGUCAGAGGUCAUGGGUUCGAAUCCCAUCUCUGCCA